CAAGUGACCCCGGUCUAACCACCGGGAUGUUCAUAACCCUUUGUUGUCCGACUCUGUUGCCUCCGGGGCGACCCUGCCUUCGGGCGGGGGCUCCGGGUGGACACUUCAAACUCUUGCGUAACUUUGCAGUCUGAGUAAGCUUAAUUAAUAAAUUA
rnacentral:misc_RNA from 1 species